UACAGAGGGUGCAAGCGUUGUUCGGAAUUACUGGGCGUAAAGCGCGUGUAGGUGGUAUUGUAAGUCGAAUGUGAAAGCCCUCAGCUUAACUGAGGAAGUGCAUUUGAUACUGCAGCACUUGAGUGUUGGAGGGGGUGGCGGAAUUCCCGGUGUAGAGGUGAAAUUCGUAGAUAUCGGGAGGAACACCUGUGGCGAAGGCGGCCACCUGGACAACAACUGACACUGAGACGCGAAAGCGUGGGUAGCAAACAGG
rnacentral:rRNA from 1 species